GGGAUCAUACCGGCACUCUGUGCAUUAGAAGGCAAAAUCUUAACCACCAGACUGCCAAGGAAGUCAUCUACUGACCAUUUUUUAAUCUGGUUUGUAUUUUUGAUGCAGAGUUGUAUGAGGUCUUUGUAUGUUUUGGAUAUUAACCCUUUGUCAAGUGUAUCAUUUUGCAAAUAUCUUCUCCCAUUCAGUAGGUAGCCUUUUUGUUUUGUUGAGAGUUUUUUUUUUUUUUUCCUCCAUGUAAAAGCUCAUUAGUUUGAUGCAGCCCCAUUUGCUUGUUUUUGCUUUUAUUGUUGUUGCCUGAGGAGACAUAUCCAAGCUAUUGGUAAGACCAAUAAUCAAAGAGCAUACUGCCUAUCUUUUCUUGUGAGAGUUUUAUGGUUUUGGGUCUCAGGUUUAAGUCUUUAAUCCAUUUUGAGUUUAUUUUGUAUUUGUUGUGAUAAACUAGUCCAGUUUGAUUAUUUUUAUAAUAUAGCUGUCCUUUCUCCAUUUGUAUUCUUGCCACCUUUGUCAUAGCUUAAUUAACCAUUUUAGUGUGAGUUUACUUCUGGACUCUGUUCCAUUGAUCUGUGUGUCUCUUUUUUAUUAGGAAGCAUGAUACCUCCAACUUUUUUGUUCUUUCUCAAGAUUGGUUUGGUUGUUCAAGGUCUUUUGUGUUUACAUUCAAUUUUAGAAUCAUUUGUUCUAGUUUUGUGACAGUUUUGAUAUUUUGAUAGAGAGAGCGUUGAAUCUGUAGAUUGCCUUGAGUAGUAUGGCCACUUUAACAAUAUUAAUUCCUCCAAUUCACAAGUACAGAGUAUCUUUUCAUUUGUGUUGUCUUUCGUUUCUUUCAUCAGUGUCUUAGAGCUUGUACUUGGGAAAGUACAAGCUUUUUACCUCUUUGGCUAUGUUUAUUUGUAGGUUUUGUAUUCUUUUUGAUGCAGUUGUAGAUGGGAUUGUUUUCUUAAUUUCUCUGAUAGUUUGUUAUUACCAUAUAGAAAUGCAACAGAUUUCUGUCCAGUCAGCCCUCCAUAUCUGUGGUUUCUGCACCUGCGGAUACAACCAAACAUGGUUGGAGAAUAAUUCACAAUCUGUGGUUGAUUGGAUCCGUGGGUAUAGAACCUGCAAAUACAUAUGACCAACUGUAAAGAACUUGAACAUCUGAAAAUUUUGGUGUCCAAAAGAGGGUCCUGGAACCAAUCUCCUAUGGAUAACAAGGAGCA
ensembl:lncRNA